ACCCACUUUGACAACAUAGAAUUGUUUUCCCUCCUAAUCUAUAAUUUCCCCCCAAAACCAAUUUCCCUCCCCCAAAAUCUUCACGUCUGGCUUAAUUUGGGGUAACCAACUAAUCCUAAAAAAAUUCACGCAUACAUAGGAAGACAUCUCCCUCUCUCUCCCUUUCUUGCAGAGAUUCAGUCACACACACAAGAUCCAGCAUCUCAUUCUGGCCACUGAACUUUCUCUCCAUCGGUCUCUUCAUCGUUUAUUCACUUCGCGCUCAUUCUGAGGGAUGUUCAGAUGUUCCUUGUCCUGUUCGGACGGUUUUGACGGGAUUUCUGGGCCGAACAGGACUUGCAGAAAAAAAGGUGAAUAAUGCGGCCCCGAGUCACCCUUUGGUGGCUCACUUAGUCACUUACAUCUGAAACAAGCAUUUACAUUGUGGACACAUUAGGCCGUAAUAUUACGGUUGGAGAGGCUGAAAGAAGCAGAGUAACAAUUAUAGAGCUGCUACAACAGAGCCCAGAACAAGAUGCUGCAAGUGUACUGUUUUCUUCAACUAUAACCAACAAAAGGAAUUCUGUGAAGGUGAGUGUAGAGUUGGUGGUUGAGGCUGCGAAUCUCGAGUUUGCUAGCCAGCCGUUUGAGGUGCUGUACCACCCUCGCACAAGCAUGCCUGAGUUCUGAGUGAAAGCGUCAACUGUAAACGCAGCAAUGCGGUUUAAGUGGUCUCCAGAAAUAAGUCAAGAUGGCUUUAGAUAAAAAGGAUUAGUCGCGAAUUAGCUGGUUCAUGGGCACGAUUUCUUUGUUUGAUGUCAAAGAACAGUUUCGUUGGCCGAAUUCACCUUGGAGGCUUCUUGAGGGAUACUCUUUAUACCGUUAGCUUUAUGAGUGAGAUAUUAAUUAACAUGUAUUUAUAAGUGAGAUAUUAUUGAUUAUGUAUGAAUUAUAACUAAACCGAAUGUUGAAAGAAACAAAGUAAAAUGAAAAGUUGAAACAAAAUGGAGAUUAGGUGUGCAGGGACCGAAUUUAACAUAGACUAAUAGUCUAAAGCCAUUGUUUUGUGUUCAUAUAGAAAUUCGUUGUGGCCAGUGACACAUAGAGGUGCACAAACUGGGUAAUUUUAAUAACCGGUUUCGGUUUCACGUUUUAACGGUUGGAACGGGUUCUAGUUCCGGUUAUUUGACCAAAAAACUAUACCCUAUGUGCACGGUUCCGGGUAAAGUUCGCUUUCGGUUCUUAAGAAACCGAAUAUUAAAAUACCCUAUUUUUGGGUUUUUCUAUACCUUAUUUCCGAGUUUUUAGUACUCUAUUUCCAGGUUUAGUAAUACUCUAUUGCGUUUGUAUUACCUUAUUUUUUUGACUUUUUGUUUAUUAUAAUUAUUAUUGUUAUUGGUAAAUAUGCAUUGUA
rnacentral:lncRNA from 1 species